rnacentral:rRNA from 1 species
UACGGGGGGGAGCAAGCGUUGUUCGGAUUUACUGGGCGUAAAGGGCGCGUAGGCGGCCAGCACAAGUCAGUUGUGAAAUCUCCGGGCUUAACUCCGGAAAGGUCAACUGAUACUGUGCGGCUAGAGUGCAGAAGGGGCAACUGGAAUUCUCGGUGUAGCGGUGAAAUGCGUAGAUAUCGAGAGGAACACCUGCGGCGAAAGCGGCGUGCUGGACCUCUUCUGACGCUGAUGCGCGAAAGCCAGGGGAGCGAACGGG